rnacentral:rRNA from 1 species
GGGGGAACCGGCGUAAGGGGCAGUAGGGCGUGGGCAACCCACCCCGGGGUCCGGCAUAGCCCGUCGAGAGACGGGGUAAUUCCGGGCGACGCCUCCAGGGGGCAUCCCUUGGGGGCCAGAGGUCCGCCGCCCCGGGCGGGGCCCACGUGGUAUUAGCUAGUCGGUGGGGUGACGGCCCACCGAGGCGUAGAUGCCUAGCGGGUGUGAGAGCACGACCCGCGCCACUGGCACUGAGACACUGGCCAGACACCUACGGGUGGCUGCAGUCGAGGAUCUUCGGCAAUGCGCGCAAGCGCGACCGAGCGACGCCGCGUGUGCGACGAAGGCCUUCGGGUUGUAAAGCACUGUCGAGGGGGAGGAAAGCCCGAAAGGGCCUGACCUAUCCCUGGAGGAGACACGGGCUAAGUUCGUGCCAGCAGCCGCGGUAAGACGAACCGUGCGAACGUUG